AGACUCUGUGCGCGUGCAUAUCAAUAAGCGGAGGAAAAGAAACUAACAAGGAUUCCCUUAGUAACGGCGAGUGAAGCGGGAGGAGCUCAAAUUUGAAAUCUUCAAGGUUCUACCUUGACGAAUUGUAGUUUAUAGAAGUGUUUUCUGUUAGUGGAGUGGCAAAAGUUCUUUGGAAUAGGACAUCAUAGAGGGUGAGAAUCCCGUAUUUGGUCAUUCCUCCUAGCGUUGUGAUGCACUUUCAACGAGUCGGAUUGUUUGGGAAUGCAGUCCAAAAUGGGUGGUAAAUUUCAUCUAAAGCUAAAUAUUGGCGAGAGACCGAUAGCGAACAAGUACCGUGAGGGAAAGAUGAAAAGAACUUUGAAAAGAGAGUUAAACAGUACGUGAAAUUGUCAAAAGGGAAGCGUUUAACACCAGUGUUGUUUUUCCGAAAAUCAAUUACGAAUGUUUUGUUUUUGAGGAGUUAUGACUUCAUCGGCUUGCUUCUCUCUUUACGAAACUUUCUUAAUGCACUUUUCGGUUAACAAGUCAACAUCAAUUUCUUUUGUUGUAAAAGGGUACGAGGAAGGUGGCUUUCUUUUCGGAGAAAGUGUUUAUAGCCUUGUACCUCUGCAAUCGGAGAGAUUGAGGUCUGCAGCGUAGAUCCUUCGGGGUUAGAUACAGUUUGUGCUAAGUUAUAGCUUUUCAUAGACAACUUGUUGACUAUGUUUAGUCUUGUAGCUUACUCGCUUAUGCUAUUUUACCUACGCUUAGGAUGUUGAACUCUAUCACACACAG
rnacentral:rRNA from 1 species